GACGAACGCUGGCGGCGUGCUUAACACAUGCAAGUCGAACGGAAAGGCCCUGCUUUUGUGGGGUGCUCGAGUGGCGAACGGGUGAGUAACACGUGAGUAACCUGCCCUUGACUUUGGGAUAACUUCAGGAAACUGGGGCUAAUACCGGAUAGGAGCUCCUGCUGCAUGGUGGGGGUUGGAAAGUUUCGGCGGUUGGGGAUGGACUCGCGGCUUAUCAGCUUGUUGGUGGGGUAGUGGCUUACCAAGGCUUUGACGGGUAGCCGGCCUGAGAGGGUGACCGGCCACAUUGGGACUGAGAUACGGCCCAGACUCCUACGGGAGGCAGCAGUGGGAAAUCUUGCACAAUGGGCGGAAGCCUGAUGCAGCAACGCCGCGUGCGGGAUGACGGCCUUCGGGUUGUAAACCGCUUUCGCCUGUGACGAAGCGUGAGUGACGGUAAUGGGUAAAGAAGCACCGGCUAACUACGUG
rnacentral:rRNA from 1 species